AGGGUUCGAUCCUGGCUCAGGAUGAACGCUAGCGGCAGGCCUUAUACAUGCAAGUCGGACGGUAACAUUGGUGCUUGCACCAGAUGACGAGUGGCGCACGGGUGCGUAACGCGUAUGCAACCUACCUUUUACUAGAGUAUAGCCCAGAGAAAUUUGGAUUAAUCCUCUAUAAUAUCUAUUAAUCUCAUGAUUUUUAGAUUAAAGUUUUAACGGUAAAAGAUGGGCAUGCGUCUUAUUAGUUUGUAGGUGAGGUAAUGGCUCACCUAGACUACGAUAGGUAGGGGCCCUGAGAGGGGGAUCCCCCACACUGGUACUGAGACACGGACCAGACUCCUACGGGAGGCAGCAGUAAGGAAUAUUGGACAAUGGACGAAAGUCUGAUCCAGCCAUGCCGCGUGCAGGAUGACGGCCCUAUGGGUUGUAAACUGCUUUUAUACAGGAAGAAACACUCCGACGUGUCGGUGCUUGACGGUACUGUAAGUAUAAGGAUCGGCUAACUCCGUGCCAGCA
rnacentral:rRNA from 1 species